rnacentral:rRNA from 1 species
GACGAACGCUGGCGGCGUGCUUAACACAUGCAAGUCGAACGGUGAAGGGAUCAGCUUGCUGGUUCUGGAUGAGUGGCGAACGGGUGAGUAACACGUGAGUAACCUGCCCCCUUCUUCUGGAUAACCGCAUGAAAGUGUGGCUAAUACGGGAUAUUCUGCGCCUGCUGCAUGGUGGGUGUGGGAAAGAUAUUGUUUCGGUGGGGGAUGGGCUCGCGGCCUAUCAGCUUGUUGGUGGGGUGAUGGCCUACCAAGGCGGUGACGGGUAGCCGGCCUGAGAGGGUGGACGGUCACACUGGGACUGGGACACGGCCCAGACUCCUACGGGAGGCAGCAGUGGGGAAUAUUGCACAAUGGGCGAAAGCCUGAUGCAGCGACGCCGCGUGAGGGAUGGAGGCCUUCGGGUUGUGAACCUCUUUCGCCAGUGAAGCAGGCCUGUCCCUUGUGGGUGGGUUGACGGUAGCUGGAUAAGAAGCGCCGGCUAACUACGUG